rnacentral:tRNA from 1 species
GCCGACGUGGCACAAUCUGGUACUGCGCGAGGCUCGAACCCUCGUUUCGAAAGAUAUCUCGGUUCAAAUCCGGGCGUCGGCG